rnacentral:sRNA from 1 species
UCUAUCAUUAGUCAAAUGCAUUUGAUUGUGAAUCAUUUUGACGAUAGAAACACUAAGACCGCUAUUUACUGCGUCUAAGAAAAUGUUUGUUGGUUUUAGCCUCUUUUGGGAUAAAAUGGGUAUAAGGGUUGUCUAAACACUCUAAAUCCAUCUCUAACUCUUAUAAUUAGUCGAAUGCAUUGGAUUGUGAUACUUUUUGACCAUAUAAACACUAACAAAGCUAUUUACUCCUUCUAAGCAAUAUUUUGUUGGUUAUAGCUUCUUUUGGGAGAAAAUGGGUAUAAGUGUUCUUUAACCACUCAUAAUCCAUCUAUAACUCUUAUAAUUAGUCAAAUGCAUUGGAUUGUGACACAUUUUGACCAUAGAAACACUAACAAAUCUAUUGACUCCUUCUAAGCAAGUUUUGUUGAUUUUAGACUCUUUUGGGAGAAAAUGGGUAUAAGUGUUGUCUAAAAACUCCUAAUCCAUCUCUAACUCUUAUAUUUAGUUGAUUGCAUUGGAUUGUGACAUAUUUUGACCAUAAAAAUACUAACAAAGCUAUUUAGUGCUUCUAAGCAAUAUUUUGUUGGUUAUAGCUUCUUUUGGGAGAAAAUGGGUAUAUGUAUUCUCUAAACACUCCUAAUCCACCUCUAACUCUUAUAAUUACUCAAAUGCAUUAGAUUGUGAUACAUUUUGAUUAUAGAAACACUAACAAUUCUAUUUACUGUUUCUAAGCAAUAUUUUGUAUGUUGUAGCUUCUUUUGGGAGUAAAUGGGUAUAAGUGUUGUCUAAACACUCCUAAUCCAUCGGUAGCUCUUAUAAUUAGUCAAAUGCAGUGGAUUGUGACACAUUUUGACCAUAGAAACACUAACAAAUCUAUUGACUUGUUCUAAGCAAGUUUUGUUGGUUUUACCCUCUUUUGGGAAGAAACGGGUAUAAGUGUUGUCUAAACACUUCUAAUCCAUCUCUAACUCUUAUAAUUAGUCGAAUGCAUUGGAUUGUGAUACAUUUUGACCAUAAAAACACUAACAAAGCUAUUUACUACUUCUAAGCAAUAUUAUGUUGGUUAUAGCUUCUUUUGGGAGAAAAUGAGUAUAAGUGUUCUCUUAACACUCCUAUACUACAAA